CCUACGGGGGGCAGCAGUGAGGAAUAUUGGUCAAUGGACGAGAGUCUGAACCAGCCAAGUAGCGUGAAGGAUGACUGCCCUAUGGGUUGUAAACUUCUUUUAUAUGGGAAUAAAGUGUUCCACGUGUGGGAUUUUGUAUGUACCAUAUGAAUAAGGAUCGGCUAACUCCGUGCCAGCAGCCGCGGUAAUACGGAGGAUCCGAGCGUUAUCCGGAUUUAUUGGGUUUAAAGGGAGCGUAGGUGGAUUGUUAAGUCAGUUGUGAAAGUUUGCGGCUCACCGUAAAAUUGCAGUUGAAACUGGCAGUCUUGAGUACAGGAGAGGUGGGCGGAAUUCGUGGUGUAGCGGUGAAAUGCUUAGAUAUCACGAAGAACUCCGAUUGCGAAGGCAGUUCACUGGACUGCAACUGACACUGAGGCUCGAAAGUGUGGGUAUCAAACAGGAUUAGAUACCCGUGUAGUC
rnacentral:rRNA from 1 species